rnacentral:rRNA from 1 species
GACGAACGCUGGCGGCGUGCCUAAUACAUGCAAGUAGGACGCAGUUGCGAACGGGUGAGUACCGCGUAGGUACCUGCCUAUUAGAGGGGGAUAACUAUUGGAAACGAUAGCCAAUACCGCAUACUAGUAGAUGGACCUGCGUUGUAUUAGCUAGUAGGUAGGGUAAUGGACUACCUAGGCGACGAUACAUAGCCGAACUGAGAGGGUGGACCGCCAAACUGGGAACGAGACAAGGGCCAGACUCCUAAGGGAAGCAGCAAGAGGGGAACAGUGGGAAGGGGGGGAAACCUGACCGCGGCACGGCGCGUGAGUGAAGAAGGUUUUCGGAUUGUAAAGCUCUGUUGUUAAGGAAGCGGUACUUAACCAGAAAGGAACGGCUAACUACGUGCCAGCAGCCGCGGUAAUAC